GAUGAACGCUGGCGGCGUGCCUAAUACAUGCAAGUCGAGCGAACGGACGAGAAGCUUGCUUCUCUGAUGUUAGCGGCGGACGGGUGAGUAACACGUGGAUAACCUACCUAUAAGACUGGGAUAACUUCGGGAAACCGGAGCUAAUACCGGAUAAUAUUUUGAACCGCAUGGUUCAAAAGUGAAAGACGGUCUUGCUGUCACUUAUAGAUGGAUCCGCGCUGCAUUAGCUAGUUGGUAAGGUAACGGCUUACCAAGGCAACGAUGCAUAGCCGGCCUGAGAGGGUGAUCGGCCACACUGGAACUGAGACACGGUCCAGACUCCUACGGGAGGCAGCAGUAGGGAAUCUUCCGCAAUGGGCGAAAGCCUGACGGAGCAACGCCGCGUGAGUGAUGAAGGUCCUCGGAUCGUAAAACUCUGUUAUUAGGGAAGAACAUAUGUGUAAGUAACUGUGCACAUCUUGACGGUACCUAAUCAGAAAGCCACGGCUAACUACGUG
rnacentral:rRNA from 1 species